rnacentral:rRNA from 1 species
GAUGAACGCUGGCGGCGUGCCUAAUACAUGCAAGUCGAGCGAACGGACGAGAAGCUUGCUUCUCUGAUGUUAGCGGCGGACGGGUGAGUAACACGUGGAUAACCUACCUAUAAGACUGGGAUAACUUCGGGAAACCGGAGCUAAUACCGGAUAAUAUUUUGAACCGCAUGGUUCAAAAGUGAAAGACGGUCUUGCUGUCACUUAUCGAUGGAUCCGCGCUGCAUUAGCUAGUUGGUAAGGUAACGGCUUACCAAGGCAACGAUGCAUAGCCGACCUGAGGGGGUGAUCGGCCACACUGGAACUGAGACACGGUCCAGACGCCUACGGGAGGCAGCAGUAGGGAAUCUUCCGCAAUGGGCGAAAGCCUGACGGAGCAACGCCGCGUGAGUGAUGAAGGUCUUCGGAUCGUAAAACUCUGUUAUUAGGGAAGAACAUAUGUGUAAGUAACUGUGCACAUCUUGACGGUACCUAAUCAGAAAGCCACGGCUAACUACGUG